UACGUAGGUGGCAAGCGUUGUCCGGAUUUACUGGGCGUAAAGAGCGCGUAGGCGGCUUGGCAAGUCGGGUGUGAAACCUCCAGGCUCAACCUGGAGACGCCACUCGAUACUGCUAUGGCUAGAGUCCGGUAGGGGACCACGGAAUUCCUGGUGUAGCGGUGAAAUGCGCAGAUAUCAGGAGGAACACCGGUGGCGAAGGCGGUGGUCUGGGCCGGCACUGACGCUGAGGAGCGAAAGCGUGGGGAGCAAACAGG
rnacentral:rRNA from 1 species